UACGAAGGGGGCUAGCGUUGCUCGGAAUUACUGGGCGUAAAGGGAGCGUAGGCGGAUAGUUUAGUCAGAGGUGAAAGCCCAGGGCUCAACCUUGGAAUUGCCUUUGAUACUGGCUACCUUGAGUACGGAAGAGGUAUGUGGAACUCCGAGUGUAGAGGUGAAAUUCGUAGAUAUUCGGAAGAACACCAGUGGCGAAGGCGACAUACUGGUCCGUUACUGACGCUGAGGCUCGAAAGCGUGGGGAGCAAACAGG
rnacentral:rRNA from 1 species